AUACUGAGAAAAAUUUAACAUUUAAUUAUUUUACAGUAAAUGAAAACUGAAAACGGUAGUAAAGCAGUAAAAAUAAGUAUAAAAAUAAUCAAUAUAAAAAUUAAAAUAAAAAAAAAAAAAAAUCUAAUGUUGCUAAUGGGUACAACACCGGGGGAGUUUAAAGAGUAGAAUAGGGGAUACAUGAGUAAUUUAAUUUAUGUACGCAAC